CUAGUCACUAACUAACCAACUAACUAACUAACUAGUAGCUCAUUAGCCACAGGACUGCCAGGCAACUAGCUAGUCACUAACUAAUUAACUAACUAACUAGUAGCUCAUUAGCCACAGGACUGCCAGGUAACUAGCUAGUCACUAACUAGUAGCUCAUUAGCCACAGGACUGCCAGGUAACUAGCUAGUCACUAACUAACUAACUAACUAGUAGCUCAUUAGCCACAGGACUGCCAGGUAACGAGCUAGUCACUAACUAGUAGCUCAUUAGCCACAGGACUGCCAGGUAACUAGCUAGUUACUAACUAGCUAACUAGUAGCUCAUUAGCCACAGGACUGCCAGGUAACUAGCUAGUCACUAACUAAUUAACUAACUAACUAGUAGCUCAUUAGCCACAGGACUGCCAGGUAACUAGCUAGUCACUAACUAGUAGCUCAUUAGCCACAGGACUGCCAGGUAACUAGCUAGUCACUAACUAACUAGUAGCUCAUUAGCCACAGGACUGCCAGGUAACGAGCUAGUCACUAACUAGUAGCUCAUUAGCCACAGGACUGCCAGGUAACUAGCUAGUUACUAACUAACUAACUAGUAGCUCAUUAGCCACAGGACUGCCAGGUAACGAGCUAGUCACUAACUAACUAACUAGUAGCUCAUUAGCCAUAGGACUGCCAGGUAACUAGCUAGUCACUAACUAUUAGCUCAUUAGCCACAGAACUGCCAGGUAACGAGCUAGUCACUUACUAACUAACUAACUAACUAGUAGCUCAUUAGCCACAGGACUGCCAGGUAACGAGCUAGUCACUAACUAACUAGUAGCUCAUUAGCCACAGGACUGCCAGGUAACGAGCUAGUCACUAACUAGUAGCUCAUUAGCCACAGGACUGCCAGGUAACUAGCUAGUUACUAACUAACUAGUAGCUCAUUA